rnacentral:tRNA from 1 species
GUGGUAGUAGCUCAGUUGGAGAGCGCUCGCCUAGCAGCACGUGUGAGGCCCUGGGUUAAAUCCUCAGCACCACA